rnacentral:rRNA from 1 species
GACGAACGCUGGCGGCGUGCUUAACACAUGCAAGUCGAACGGAAAGGCCCUGCUUUUGUGGGGUGCUCGAGUGGCGAACGGGUGAGUAGCACGUGAGUAACCUGCCCUUGACUUUGGGAUAACUUCAGGAAACUGGGGCUAAUACCGGAUAGGAGCUCCUGCUGCAUGGUGGGGGUUGGAAAGUUUCGGCGGUUGGGGAUGGACUCGCGGCUUAUCAGCUUGUUGGUGGGGUAGUGGCUUACCAAGGCUUUGACGGGUGGCCGGCCUGAGAGGGUGACCGGCCACAUUGGGACUGAGAUACGGCCCAGACUCCUACGGGAGGCAGCAGUGGGGAAUAUUGCACAAUGGGCGGAAGCCUGAUGCAGCAACGCCGCGUGCGGGAUGACGGCCUUCGGGUUGUAAACCGCUUUCGCCUGUGACGAAGCGUGAGUGACGGUAAUGGGUAAAGAAGCACCGGCUAACUACGUG